GUGUCAAUUUUAUUCGUCCUGAUAAACCAGAAUCUAAAAGGUAUACAAAAGACAUGGAUUAUAAUGAAAUUACUCGUGAAAGGGCUCAAGUGGCGCUGGACUAUUAUAAUUCAAAUCACAAGAUGUAUUUAGGAUGAUGCUGAUUAUGAGUGUGUAAAGAUUGUUUCCCAAAGUCCAUAUAUGGCUAAGGCACAGCACUAUGCUUUGGGUUUUCAUAUGAACUUCUUUGCUCGUAAAAAAGACGGUCAUUCUUCUCCGGUGCUGUUUUAUGCCGAUCUUUUAUCUUCUCCUUCAUAUGAAGAAGAUGAGAUUGAGUGUUGUAUCCUGAAUCCUAGUCCGAUUACUUUUGGUAAGUUUCUAAGGGUAUAUAUCCUCGGAACUUAUUAAACCUUAUUAAAACUUAGUUCAGCUGUAAUCUAAACUUGGCUAACCCUUUCUCUUUGUUAUUAGAUUGUAACAUGUCUUAAGGACUAAAAUAGCUUUCUUGUGCAUCUUUCUUCUGAUGAAUUUCGCCCCAAUGGUGUUGGUAUUGGUUCAUCGGUUUACCAUCCUUCAUAUGUAAUAAGAUGUGGGUAUUGCGAGGAUAUGGAUAAGAUGAUGGCUAAGUAUGAAUUUGACAGCGAUGAUAGUGAUGAUGGUAUUGAUAUGUUCUGAUCUAGGAGUAUCAUUUACAUCUAAGUUUGCUGACCAUAUGUUAGUGUUGUGAGGAUGUAUUAAGUACUUGUUUAGCACUUGCUACUUGCUAGUACCUAGGAAAUCUAUCAUUCAUAUAUGUGAUGCCCAAAACUUUUCUAGCAUUUGUUUCUGAGUUUGCAAAGAGUGACUGACUGCUAUGUUAUAUAGCGUCUAAUGUUCAUCUGUCAUCCUCGAAAGAUAACAUCAUGGUCAUCAUCUACAUCUUCCCAAUGGAUUAGAUACUUUGUUAAGAACUGAACUUAAUACC